UAUGUUUAUAAACAAACUCUGUAAUGUCAUAGAAUGUCAUCGCGUAUAACGCAUUAUAAUAUAACUUUCAGCAACGGAUCUCUUGGCUCUCGCAUCGAUGAAGAACGCAGCGAAAUGCGAUAAGUAAUGUGAAUUGCAGAAUUCAGUGAAUCAUCGAAUCUUUGAACGCACCUUGCGCUCCUUGGUAUUCCGAGGAGCAUGCCUGUUUGAGUGUCAUGGAAUUCUCAAUCCUCUUAUCCUUGUGAUGAGAUUGGGUUGGAUUUGGAGGUUUAUGCUGGCUUGUAAUGAGUCGGCUCCUCUUGAAUGCAUUAGCUUGGACCUUUGCGGACCAGCUUUUCGGUGUGAUAAUUGUCUACGCCGUGGGCUGUGAUGCUGUUUAACAUGCUUCGGUGUGUUGGGGUUCUGCUUCUAAUGGUCCCUUUGGUGGGACAACUUACUUUGACCUCUGACCUCAAAUCAGGUAGGAUUACCCGCUGAACUUAAGCAUAUCAAUAAGCGGAGGAAAAGAAACUAACAAGGAUUCCCCUAGUAACUGCGAGUGAAGCGGGAAAAGCUCAAAUUUAAAAUCUGGCGGUCUUUGGCCGUCCGAGUUGUAGUCUGGAGAAGCGUCUUCCGUGC
rnacentral:rRNA from 1 species